UACGGAAGGUCCGGGCGUUAUCCGGAUUUAUUGGGUUUAAAGGGAGCGCAGGCCGGAGAUUAAGCGUGACGUGAAAUGCCGCGGCUCAACCGUGGAAGUGCGUCGCGAACUGGUUUCCUUGAGUGGGUGCGACGUGUGCGGAAUUCGUGGUGUAGCGGUGAAAUGCUUAGAUAUCACGAAGAACCCCGAUUGCGAAGGCAGCGCACGAGUCCCUUACUGACGCUAAAGCUCGAAGGUGCGGGUAU
rnacentral:rRNA from 1 species